rnacentral:rRNA from 1 species
GACGAGACAAGGGCGGAAAGCAUUUAAGCAUGAAGCACCGCGCAAGUUGAGAUUUACCAACUGAGGUUAUAAGAUCCCUCAAAGAUGAUGAGGUUAAUAGGUUCGAGGUGGAAGCAUGGUGACAUGUGGAGCUGACGAAUACUAAUCGAUCGAAGACUUAAUCAAA